CCAGUGCCUGCCUAGUACUUUGGAGUCUCUGCAGGCCUAGACUGUAGCACUGUGUUAUAAGCAAGGUUGAUCCAAACUUGCUUAGAAGCAACCUUGUUACAAGAAAGAAUUAUUAUCCAUUUGGAAUCUGCAGACUUUGGAGGCAACCCCUGGUGCGACUGAGAGGCGGUGCCUACAUCGGGGAGGGCCGCGUGGAGGUGCUCAAAAAUGGAGAAUGGGGGACCGUCUGCGACGACAAGUGGGACCUGGUGUCGGCCAGUGUGGUCUGCAGAGAGCUGGGCUUUGGGAGUGCCAAAGAGGCAGUCACUGGCUCCCGACUGGGGCAAGGGAUCGGACCCAUCCACCUCAACGAGAUCCAGUGCACAGGCAAUGAGAAGUCCAUUAUAGACUGCAAGUUCAAUGCCGAGUCUCAGGGCUGCAACCACGAGGAGGAUGCUGGUGUGAGAUGCAACACCCCUGCCAUGGGCUUGCAGAAGAAGCUGCGCCUGAACGGCGGCCGCAAUCCCUACGAGGGCCGAGUGGAGGUGCUGGUGGAGAGAAACGGGUCCCUUGUGUGGGGGAUGGUGUGUGG
rnacentral:lncRNA from 1 species